rnacentral:rRNA from 1 species
UGCAGUCGGACGAAUCAAACUGGGUAACCGGGUGGGGAAAGUGGCGAAAGGGGCAGUAAGGCGUGGGUAACUUGCCCCGGGGUUUGGAAUAGCCAUCCUAACGGGUGGGUAAUACCAAAUGCCCUGAGAUGAUGGCAUCACCGUCUCAGGAAAGAUUGAUCGCCCCGGGAGAGGCUCACGUAGUAUUAGCUAGAUGGUGGGGUAACGGCCCACCAUGGCCAAGAUGCUUAGCAGGUGUGAGAGCGCGACCUGCGCCACUGGCACUGAGACACUGGCCAGACUCCUACGGGAGGCUGCAGUCGAGGAUCUUCGGCAAUGGGCGCAAGCCUGACCGAGCGAUGCCGCGUGUGCGAUGAAGGCCUUCGGGUUGUAAAGCACUGUCGAGGGGGAGAAAAGGGCAACCUUGAUCGACCCCUGGAGGAAGCACGGGCUAAGUUCGUGCCAGCAGCCGCGGUAAGACGAACCGUGCGAACGUUGUUCGGAAUCACUGGGCUUAAAGGGCGCGUAGGCGGGCGGUCAAGUCAGAGGUGAAAUCCCACGGCUCAACCGUGGAAGUGCCCCUGAUACUGAUCGUCUCGAGGGAGGUAGGGGCGUGCGGAACUUCCGGUGGAGCGGUGAAAUGCGUAGAUAUCGGAAGGAACACCGGUGGCGAAAGCGGCGCACUGGACCUCUUCUGACGCUGAGGCGCGAAAGCCAGGGGAGCAAACGGGAUUAGAUACCCCGGUAGUCCUGGCCCUAAACGUUGGGUACCAGGUAGUGGACUUACAUGGGUUCACUGCCGACGCAAAAGUUUUAAGUACCCCGCCUGGGGAGUAUGGUCGCAAGGCUGAAACUCAAAGGAAUUGACGGGGGCUCACACAAGCGGUGGAGCAUGUGGCUUAAUUCGAGGCUACGCGAAGAACCUUAUC